GUUCUGUCACGGUGCCCAGAAAAUGUCUGGUACCCUGGAUGUGUUCUCUCUCUUAAAAUCCCGGUAAACGUAAUGCAGACAAAAAUGUCCUCUGCAAUUCAGUGUCAGAGCGUACGCAAGGAGACUCUUGGUAAUCAAAAGUUCUUGGCUCCUGAAAUGUUUAGACUAUUGCCAGCUGAGCAGAUGUGUACAUUGAAGAAGAUUCCUCAAGUUACUCCACAGUACAUUUAGUAAAAGAAUAAACAUUUGCUUGCCUGUAUUGCACUGUUGCAGCAUUAAACUUACACUAAAGUAACGCUCCAUGUGUGCUUCACAGAAAUGCUGCCACACGUUCAUUGCAUGAGGAGCAAUGGAUGGUGGGUUAGACUGAGGUUUAUAGGGGCAAUAUAUUCAUAAUUAGGAUGUCCUAUUUGCUUUAAUAGGUAUGCAGGAAGCUCUUUUAAAAAAAUACUCCUUUUCCAGCAGAAUAAUUGUUGGCAGCCAUGUGCUUCCAUGAGCACUAUAGCAGAUCACAAGUCAGUGCGAGCUCAACAUGAUCUCGUAUGGAACACAUUAUUCAUAAAUGCCAUAUUGAAAGCAUUCAGCAAAGUGUGAAAAAUUACAUUUCCCUGCGCUUAUAUUAAUUUCUUCAAAUGGCUGAUAGUUGUAUUUGUACAUGAACAGUCUAUAGUCUGAAAAUAUUGCAAACAAUGUUCUGGCUUAUUCCCGGAGUGACCCUGGAGGAUGGGGUUGGUGUGUGACUGAAUGUGAGAAGCUGGAGGUUGUGACUGUGCCAAGCCAGUUGCAUCCUAAUCUCUGAUCUGUUUUCAACCCAUCAAAUGACUGAAAAUGCAAUUAUAUUUAAGUUGAUUACUUCAAAAACAGCUUUUGAAGUUACCGAUUCCUUAUAUAAGCCUCAAAAAACUUUGCACUGUUGUUAAGUCUCUGCCUCUCCCAGGCUGUUGGAUGACUCAGGCAAUCUGUGUAAUCUCAGUGUGUCCACGGAUGGAGCGCUCACUCCAUUUCCACAGGCGGAAUAUUGACGUGAAAUGGAACAUAAAAUUACUAAUCUGGCACGAUGAGUGUUUAACAUCCUGCAAGGAUGGUGGAACCACUGUGUGGCUGCUCAGCUACGGUGCCACCAGUGCAAAGGAAUUCCUGGAGCAAGGCUGGAGGCACUGGCAAACAGCUCAUGGACCAGCCGGAGAACAGGACAGUGUCAAACAUGGUAAAAGAUACAGAAAACUGGAAGAGUUUUUUGCUUGGAGGCUGAAGAGCUAACCCAAACCCUAAAAAAUCCUAAAAUUACUGAAAGAAAAUGGACAAAGGUUUUCACUAAAGAGGAGAAGUUAAUUAGUUGUUAAAUUUUUGAGGAUGUCUUCACAUUUAAUAGAAUUGAAAAGUCUUGUGCAGGUAAGACCUCAUGCGGGGAUGCCCUUUGACAAAUGUGACACUAGACUGAGCAAAGAUAAAACUGUUUUCCUGUUUUAUGGAAUAACAUGCAACUGUCUUAAUACCUGUAAGUGCUGAGCACUCAGCUGGACCACAGAAUGUGGAUGUUCCACACCAGAGCAGAUUUUAUGUGUCUCGUCCUUGUUAGGAGCAUUUAAUUCAUAGUCAUUGACAUGUUCUCUUACUUUACAUGCCUGUAAAAGUAUAACAAGCUCUAAGGUUACUAUUUAUUUCCCACAGCUCUUCUGUUAAAUGCCAAUACUGUGGUAUUUAUAUCUUUACAAAGUAUCUACUGUUUUUUAUGCCAGCAAACAAUAUGCAAACAUUUAGUCAAAUAGACAUUGGAAGAUGAAAGAACCAAAUGGUUUGUAUUAUACAAAUUCCUUUCCUUGCUUCUUUGUACAUUCUUAAUAGGAACCUUUGCUCCUCAUUUAAUCAUUUAAUUUCAAUUUGUAAAAGUGAGAAAUAUUUUUUUAUUGAGCAUUCCUAAUAGGUUUCCUAUCUGUGUGUUUCUUUGAGACAGCUGGAAGAUUCUAUAUAUACUCCAAAUUUUUCAGUUUUCUGCUUAAUUUUUCAGUUUAUAGAUAAUUACUGAGGGUGUUAGCAGAUUUUGCAGAGAGACAUCAUGACAACAAGACAUGCUUGUCUUAGCAGUCUUCUUUGAAGAGAAUAUCCAAGUUCUAUUCCUUUAUGGUUUGGGGAGGGCUUGGUUAUGUUGCAAGGCACAUUCUAAAAAUAAAACAUGAAAAUGUCUA